rnacentral:rRNA from 1 species
CCUACGGGAGGCAGCAGUGAGGAAUAUUGGUCAAUGGACGAGAGUCUGAACCAGCCAAGUAGCGUGAAGGAUGACUGCCCUAUGGGUUGUAAACUUCUUUUAUAAAGGAAUAAAACGAGGCACGUGUGCCUUUUUGCAUGUACUUUAUGAAUAAGGAUCGGCUAACUCCGUGCCAGCAGCCGCGGUAAUACGGAGGAUCCGAGCGUUAUCCGGAUUUAUUGGGUUUAAAGGGAGCGUAGAUGGGUUGUUAAGUCAGUUGUGAAAGUUUGCGGCUCAACCGUAAAAUUGCAAUUGAUACUGGCAGUCGUGAGUACAGUUGAGGUAGGCGGAAUUCGUGGUGUAGCGGUGAAAUGCUUAGAUAUCACGAAGAACCCCGAUGGCGAAGGCAGCUUACUAAACUGUGACUGACAUUGAUGCUCGAAAGUGUGGGUAUCAAACAGGAUUAGAUACCCGUGUAGUC